rnacentral:rRNA from 1 species
AAGCACCUACGGGAGGCAGCAGUGGGGAAUAUUGGACAAUGGGGGGAACCCUGAUCCAGCGACGCCGCGUGAGUGAAGAAGUAUUUCGGUAUGUAAAGCUCUAUCAGCAGGGAAGAAAAUGACGGUACCUGACUAAGAAGCCCCGGCUAACUACGUGCCAGCAGCCGCGGUAAUACGUAGGGGGCAAGCGUUAUCCGGAUUUACUGGGUGUAAAGGGAGCGUAGACGGGGCAGCAAGCCUGAUGUGAUAGGUCGGGGCCCAACCCCGGUACUGCAU